AUACGUAGGGGGCGAGCGUUGUCCGGAUUUAUUGGGCGUAAAGCGAGCGCAGGCGGUUUCUUAAGUCUGAUGUGAAAGCCCCCGGCUAAACCGGGGAGGGGCAUUGGAACCUGGGAGACUUGAGUGCAGAAGAGGAGAGUGGAAUUCCAUGUGUAGCGGUGAAAUGCGUAGAUAUAUGGAGGAACACCAGUGGCGAAGGCGACUCUCUGGUCUGUAACUGACGCUGAGGCUCGAAAGCGUGGGGAGCAAACAGGAUUAGAUACCCUGGUAGUCCACGCCGUAAACGAUGAGUGCUAAGUGUUGGAGGGUUUCCGCCCUUCAGUGCUGCAGCUAACGCAUUAAGCACUCCGCCUGGGGAGUACGACCGCAAGGUUGAAACUCAAAGGAAUUGACGGGG
rnacentral:rRNA from 1 species